rnacentral:rRNA from 1 species
UUUUGGCCAAUGGACGAAAGUCUGAUCCAGCAAUGCCGCGUGCAGGACGAAGGCCUUCGGGUUGUAAACUGCUUUUGUACGGAACGAAAAAGUCUUUUUUAAUAAAGAGGGCUUAUGACGGUACCGUAAGAAUAAGCACCGGCUAACUACGUGCCAGCAGCCGCGGUAAUACGUAGGGUGCGAGCGUUAAUCGGAAUUACUGGGCGUAAAGCGUCCGCAGGCGGUUCUAUAAGACAGAUGUGAAAUCCCUGGGCUCAACCUAGGAACUGCAUUUGUGACUGUAGAGCUAGAGUACGGCAGAGGGGGAUGGAAUUCCGCGUGUAGCAGUGAAAUGCGUAGAUAUGCGGAGGAACACCGAUGGCGAAGGCAACCCCCUGGGCCUAUACUGACGCUCAGGACGAAA